GAACGCACCUUGCGCCCUUUGGCUAUUCCGAAGGGCAUGUCUGUUUGAGUAUCAUGAACACCUCAACUCUCAUGGCUUGCCGUGAUGAGCUUGGACUUUGGGGGUCUUGCUGGCCUAUGGGUCAGCUCCUCUCAAACAAAUUAGCUUGCCGGUGUUUGGUGGCAUCACAUGUGUGAUAACUAUCUACGCUUGUGGUUUUCCACCAGGUAACCCCCAGCAAUGGAGGUUCACUGGAGCUCAUAAACGUCUCUCCUCGGUGGGGACAGAUUUUGACCGUUUGAUCUCAAAUCAGGUAGGACUACCCGCUGAACUUAAG
rnacentral:misc_RNA from 1 species